AUGAUAAAACGCAGGAGAUCUAAUCACUCAAAAUGUAGUAGAAAAUUAACUUCCGUUGGAGCAAUGGCUGGAGGGCUGAUUAAGCUGUGGAAUGAGUGGGCAACCCAAAUCCUCGUACUACUCAGCUUUGCACUACAGAUUUUCCUCUUUCUCUUCGCUAGGACUCGUCGGCGUGGACCCUCCGCCGUGCUGAAGAUUCUCCUCUGGCUGGCAUACCUCAUGGUCGAUUCAACCGCUGUCUACACCCUUGGGCAUCUUUCCAUCAGUGGCUCGUUGCACGAGCAUGAGUUGGUGGUGUUCUGGGCGCCCUUCCUUCUUGUGCAUCUGGGUAGCCAGGACACCAUCACUGCCUAUGCUCUCGAGGACAACAAGCUCUGGCCACGCCACCUGCUAAAUCUUUGUGUCCAAGCCUUUGGGGUUGCUUAUGUCCUCUAUAAGCAUAUCGCCGAGAUCCCCACCUUGUUGGGAUUGGCUACCAGCUUGAUGUUUGGCGUCGGUCUCAGCAAGUACGGGGAGAGGAUAUGGGCACUCAAGUGCGCCACCCUGGACAGCAUCCGGAGCUCCAUCAGAAAACCUCAUGCUCUCCCUACUUACUCCGAUGAGCUUCAUCCCCGGGUACCAAGAAGGGCAAAAGAGCGCGAUGAAGAAGAGCUCCUUCUGUUUUCUCAUGACAUGCUCCCCCUUUGCAAGGGCGCUAUGGCUGAUUCUCCUGUGGCUUUGUUUAGGUUCCAAAUUGCAACUGGUGCGAUCUCAUCCAAAUUUUAUAUACCGAGUUGGAAAUGGAAAACUACUCUCAGGGUGGUGGAGAUGGAGUUGUCCCUGAUGUAUGAUGUUAUCUACACCAAGGCAGCGGUGAUCCACACUUGGUAUGGCUACCUGUUUCGUCUGGUUUCGCCCCUGGCAACUGUUGGUGCAUCCAUACUUUUUCAGUUAAGUGGCAAUAAAAAUGGUUACAGCAGAGUCGAUGUUGCCAUCACUUACAUCUUGUUGGUUGGUGCCUUCCUGCUGGAUAUGGCGUCAGUAUUCAGUACUUUGGGGUCGACCUGGACAUGUAAUUUCUUGUGGAGAAGAGGUUGGACCAAGCUUGGUAAUGUCAUUAUGUCCCUCCGCCGGCUUGUCAAGGCUGCGGCAGGCAAUAGAGGGUGGUCAGGCUCCAUUGGGCAGUUUAACUUGCUGCAUUUCUGCUCCCGUGACACAACAAAGCUAAUCAGCAGAGUGACCAAGAUGAUAGGGCUCGAGGAUUGUUGGAACAAAAUUCACUACUCUGAGACCCUAGUGAUUUCAGAGGAUGUCAAGGAGUUGGUGUUCCAAAGUGUGUGGCAAGUAGUGAAGGAGAUUCAUGACCCCGGAGUAAAGGAUGAGAUUCAGUCCCCACGCUAUGCGGGGGGGCAUAUGAUGCCAUGCGGCGAGAUAUACAAUUUGAGCUUUCAUCCCGAAUCAUUCGAAGAUACUAACAGGAGGCGUAUGCAAUUAUCCGAAGCUCUGGGCUUCGGUGCUGAACUCCAAGAAAUUAUCCUUACUUGGCAUGUCUUUACAGAUGUUUUCCUCUUGUGCAGCGGCACCCCCAAGAACAAGGAUGCAGCAUAUGGGAAGGCGAUCAAGGCAUUGUCAAAUUACAUGGUUUUUCUCAUUGCUAUACGCCCUGACACGAUACCCGGUCUCGAGCUACGCAGCCUAUAUGAAGCAACUCGCGAUUCAUUGGAUGAAGUAUGGAAUACGUGUGCUUAUGUAUUUGAACCCAGAUUUACCCCUCCCCCAGAAAAAAAAAGAGAGGGGAAACUUGCCCACGUCCUGCAAGGAGAUCUGGGCUGUAGGAUAGAUGGAAAGCCAAGCAUCAUUCUCCGGCGUGGAGUAAAAUAUGCCAAUCUGCUUCUCGAGCUGGUAGAUACACGGAAUCCUGACAAGUCGGGCAUCAUAUCUCGUCAUGAAGGUAUUGAUCGUGCUGGCAUGGAAAAACUGAAGGGGCGGUUGAUGCCAGAUCUGGAAUCCUCCUGCCGAGGUGGUGUGCUCGAUAUGACCAAAGCAUUGGCGCUCAUCCUGGAUGCAUGGGUGCGUCUGCUCAUCUUUGCGUCUGUCCGAUACAACAGAGAUGCCCAUGCCAGACAGAUGAACUGUGGUGGUGAGCUCACCACGGUCGUCUGGCUCAUGGAGCAACAUGCUGCCAUGUUUUUCAAGCCAUCUGCCGAAGAGGAGCAUAUCCGUUCACCAGAAGAUUCAGAAAAUGAGGAAAUUGAACUUGGAGGCGGACCUCACAUGGUCUAG
rnacentral:rRNA from 1 species